rnacentral:rRNA from 1 species
CAAUAGCGUAUAUUAAAGUUGUUGCGGUUAAAAGCUCGUAGUUGGAUUUCUUCGGAGGUAGACGGGUCCGCCUUUUGGGCGUUUAUUCGAUCGGCCUCUGAAUCCUGUCAAAGAACGUACUUGUGAUUCAGUUCAUGAUGCGGAAUUUGACACUUUUACUUUGAGGAAAUUAGAGUGUUCACGGCAGGCAAUCGCCUUGAAUAUGUUAGCAUGGAAUAAUAAUAUAGGAUCUUGGGUCUAUUUUGUUGGUUUCUAGAGCUAAGAUAAUGAUUAAUAGGGACAAUUGGGGGUAUUCGUAUUAACACGUCAGAGGUGGAAUUCUUAGAUUGUGUUACGACGAACUACUGCGAAAGCAUUUACCAAGGAUGUUUUCAUUGAUCAAGAACGAAAGUGAGGGGAUCGAAGAUGAUCAGAUACCGU